rnacentral:miRNA from 1 species
CACGUGGAUGACGGUUUUCCCUAGGCUUUCAUAGCAAGCACAUGAAAAGUCUUGGUUGAAUUCGACUUUGGGGU